AUGAACAGCACCUGUUGGUUUGUAUCACUGUGGGUCACCUUCGGCAGCGGCACCAAACUGGAUGUUGGCAGCGUCACUCGUCCUAAAGUGAGCGUCCUGCCGCCCUCCAGUGCAGAGAUCUCCUCAAAGAAGACAGCGACACUGGUGUGUGUGGCCAGCAAGGGCUUCCCGUCAGACUGGAGCCUGAGCUGGAAGGUGGACGGGAGCAGCAGGUCUCAGGAGAGCAGCGCUGGGCUCCUGGAGAAGGACGGUCUGUACAGCUGGAGCAGCAGCCUGACUCUCUCUGAGCAGGAGUGGAUGGAGAGCGUCUCAGUGAGCUGUGAGGCCACACGGAGCGGCCAGCCUGCGCUCACUGGACACGUGACGAGACAGCAGUGUUCAGAGUAGAUCUGCUGCUCUUCUCACUCAUGUCUCACAUGGAGACUAACAGCACAUGAGCGACUCCUUCAUUCUCCACAUCCAGCUUCAGUCGCUCUCAUCUGCAGCUGCUCUGCUUUGUGUGUUUCAUUCAAGCCUGCAUGUGUGAUUUUAUAAAAAUUCAGUCAUUAAAUAAAAUAUAAUUGUGA